rnacentral:lncRNA from 10 species
CCGGAUUUCUUGAUUUUGAUCCAGUAGCUGCUCAUUUUCCUGCCUUUUACAUUUAGGAGAUUCAAGCUCUGUCAUUUCCUCUAGCUGCAGAAGAAGAUAGAGUUAGACACCCUCGCCCUGAAUGAUAGGUCAGCAUCUUUUUUUUGUUUUGUUUUUUGUGACGGAGCCUCACUCUGUUGCCCAGGCUGGAGUGCAGUGGCGUGAUCUCGGUUCACUGCAACCUCCGCCUUCCGGGUUCAAGCGAUUCUCCUGCCUCAGCCUUCCAAGUAGCUGGGAUUACAGGCGCCCACCACCCCACCUAAUUUUUUGUAUUUUUAGUAGAGACGAGGUUUCACCAUGUUGUCCAAGCUGGUCUCAAACUCCUGACCUCAAGUGAUCCGCCUGCCUCAGCCUCCCAAAGUGCUGGGAUUACAGGUGUGAGCCUCCGCACCCGGCCGGUCAGCAUCUUUUCAACACAGCCAGUCUCUGUGGAAUGAACCCUUCCUGUUUGCCUUCCUUACCUGCCCCUGAAGUCCGUCCUUCCUGCAGGGCCCAACUCCACGUAGACUCCAGGGAAGUCCCUCUCACCAGUGGAGGGCGAAGAAGGUUCCUG